AACAAACGAAUAUGCUUACCGUAGACAGCAGGUGCUCCUACCCAUGGGCUUAAUUUCCUGCCGAGGUGUUAUGAUAUAAAUUCGGUAUUCUUUGCUUAACAGCUCAAGAAUAUGUGAAUCAUCAUGCCUUCGCUUUCGUCUGCGAAGGCAUUUUCGCUUUUAUGC
rfam:Paenibacillus naphthalenovorans strain 32O-Y, complete genome.